rnacentral:rRNA from 1 species
AUACGGAGGAUCCGAGCGUUAUCCGGAUUUAUUGGGUUUAAAGGGUGCGCAGGCGGGAGAUUAAGUCGGCGGUGAAAUUUUGCAGCUCAACUGUAAAAGUGCCUUCGAAACUGGUUUCCUUGAGUGUAGAUGAAGUAGGCGGAAUUUGUGGUGUAGCGGUGAAAUGCAUAGAUAUCACGAGGAACUCCGAUUGCGCAGGCAGCUUACUAAACUACUACUGACGCUCAGGCACGAAGGCGUGGGGAUCAAACAGGAUUAGAUACCCUGGUAGUCCACGCAGUAAACGAUGAUUACUAGCUGUUUGCGAUACAAUGUAAGCGGCUGAGCGAAAGCGUUAAGUAAUCCACCUGGGGAGUACGGCCGCAAGGUUGAAACUCAAAGGAAUUGGCGG